rnacentral:lncRNA from 1 species
UAUAUUUUCUAUGUUUUGUAGUUUCUUUUGUUUUCAGUAAGGUCUUCAUAUAUGUUUAUUGCCAAUUUUAAAGCCUGAUGUAUCUCAAUUCUGUUCAAAGUUUCUUUUGGCCAAGGUUUAGGUAUCUUUGUAUUUUUCUUUUGCAAGUGAUAUCUUUUUCAGCAUCUUUUCCCUCUGCAGGUUUUCUUUCAUUGGCUAGAAUUUUUUUCUGUUGGUUUCAUUUUUGGUUUUUAGUUUCAAUCCCUUGGAUUAUAAAUUAUUGAUGUCUGUAUAGCUAGGUAAAGCAUGAAAUAAACAACUCUUCAACUCUCAUAAUUGCUUAGUUGCUCCUUUUCUCUUUACUUUUCUUUACAUUGUUGAUCUUAUAAACUGCUUCAUCCCCUGUGCAAUGUUCCUUUUGCAGCUAACUGGUGAAACAGUGGGAGAAGUAGAGGUUGUAGCUGAUAUUGCCCAGUAAUUGCCCAGGUACGCUAUCUUUCAAGUCUUAAGGUUUUUUCUGAAAAUUAUAUAUAACAUGACAAUAAUAAAUAUGUGUUUGGUCCAUUUAUAUAUAGAUUGGUGUGAAUAAAGAAGUGGAGAUAUUGAUGGAAAGCAAGGUUUUGUGUAAUGUGGUGGUGAAACCUGGAUGGAUCAAACCUUUGUUUUUGGAGUCAUCGCAGUUCUUGAGUACAUUUAUGGAUUAUCGACCUACUGCAAAGUCUGAAAUUGUUCUAAGUACAUGAUGUUUGAAGAAUAAUUAUUGUAUAAAACCAAUAAUGGUUUUAUUUUCUUACCACAGAUAUGCAUAUAUAUGAAACCAGAAAACUCCUUAUGGAAAGGAAAUUGGAUUAUUGCUUUAUGCUAAUGCUUAUAACUUGUUUCCUUAAUUCGCCUACUUGUUUGACAAUGAUGGAUGUGAAAAUUAAUUAUUUAAUUAUUAUUUCUUGAGCUUA